GAUGAAGAACGGAGCGAAAUGCGAUAAGUAAUGUGAAUUGCAGAAUUCAGUGAAUCAUCGAAUCUUUGAACGCACAUUGCGCCCGCCAGUAUUCUGGCGGGCAUGCCUGUUCGAGCGCCAUUACAACCCUCAGGCCCCCGGGCCUGGCGUUGGGGAUCGGCGGAGCCCCCCGUGGGCACACGCCGUCCCCCAAAUACAGUGGCGGUCCCGCCGCAGCUUCCAUCGCGUAGUAGCUAACACCUCGCGACUGGAGAGCGGCGCGGCCACGCCGUAAAACACCCAACUCUUCUGAAGUUGACCUCGAAUCAGGUAGGAAUACCCGCUGAACUUAAGCAUAUCAAUAAGCGGAGGA
rnacentral:misc_RNA from 1 species